rnacentral:rRNA from 1 species
UGGCUCAGGAUGAACGCUAGCUACAGGCUUAACACAUGCAAGUCGAGGGGCAGCAUGAACUUAGCUUGCUAAGUUUGAUGGCGACCGGCGCACGGGUGAGUAACACGUAUCCAACCUUCCGUUUACUCAGGGAUAGCCUUUCGAAAGAAAGAUUAAUACCUGAUAGUAUGGUGAGAUUGCAUGAUAGCACCAUUAAAGAUUUAUUGGUAAACGAUGGGGAUGCGUUCCAUUAGGUAGUAGGCGGGGUAACGGCCCACCUAGCCGACGAUGGAUAGGGGUUCUGAGAGGAAGGUCCCCCACAUUGGAACUGAGACACGGUCCAAACUCCUACGGGAGGCAGCAGUGAGGAAUAUUGGUCAAUGGGCGAGAGCCUGAACCAGCCAAGUAGCGUGAAGGAUGAAGGUCCUACGGAUUGUAAACUUCUUUUAUACGGGAAUAAAGUAUCCUACGUGUAGGAUUUUGUAUGUACCGUAUGAAUAAGCAUCGGCUAACUCCGUGCCAGCAGCCGCGGUAAUACGGAGGAUGCGAGCGUUAUCCGGAUUUAUUGGGUUUAAAGGGAGCGCAGACGGGAGAUUAAGUCAGUUGUGAAAGUUUGCGGCUCAACCGUAAAAUUGCAGUUGAUACUGGUUUCCUUGAGUGCAGUUGAGGCAGGCGGAAUUCGUGGUGUAGCGGUGAAAUGCUUAGAUAUCACGAAGAACCCCGAUUGCGAAGGCAGCUUGCUAAACUGUAACUGACGUUCAUGCUCGAAAGUGUGGGUAUCAAACAGGAUUAGAUACCCUGGUAGUCCACACGGUAAACGAUGGAUACUCGCUGUUGGCGAUAUACUGUCAGCGGCCAAGCGAAAGCAUUAAGUAUCCCACCUGGGGAGUACGCCGGCAACGGUGAAACUC